rnacentral:rRNA from 1 species
CCUACGGGUGGCAGCAGUAGGGAAUCUUUCACAAUGGGCGAAAGCCUGAUGGAGCAACGCCGCGUGCAGGAUGAAGGCCUUCGGGUUGUAAACUGCUUUUAUCAGCGAGAAAUAUGAUGGUAACUUAUGAAUAAGGCUCGGCUAACUACGUGCCAGCAGCCGCGGUCAUACGUAGGAUCCGAGCAUUAUCCGGAGUGACUGGGUGUAAAGAGUUGCGUAGGUGGCAUAAUAAGUAGCUAGGGAAAUCUGGUGGCUCAACCAUUCAGACUAUUAGCUAAACUGUUAAGCUCGAGACCGUUAGGGGUAACUGGAAUUUCUAGUGUAGGGGUGAAAUCCGUAGAUAUUAGAAGGAACACCAAUAGCGUAGGCAGGUUGCUGGGACGGGUCUGACACUAAGGCACGAAAGCGUAGGGAGCAAACGGGAUUAGAUACCCCAGUAGUC